rnacentral:rRNA from 1 species
UACGUAGGGUGCAAGCGUUGUCCGGAAUUAUUGGGCGUAAAGAGCUCGUAGGCGGUCUGUCGCGUCUGCUGUGAAAAUCCAGGGCUCAACCCUGGACCUGCAGUGGGUACGGGCAGACUAGAGUGCGGUAGGGGAGAUCGGAAUUCCUGGUGUAGCGGUGAAAUGCGCAGAUAUCAGGAGGAACACCGGUGGCGAAGGCGGUUCUCUGGGCCUUACCUGACGCUGAGGAGCGAAAGCGUGGGGAGCGAACAGG